AGGGGAACAACUUAUAUGAAGAACAUUAGGCCAAAAUAUGAAUGUAACUUGCUCAAUUGGCUAAGCAAAUUGAGGUUUCAGAAUCUACCUGGUUCUAGAACUAUAAGGAGUCAUUGGACUAACACAUGAUAAAUUGAUCAUAACUUGAAAACCAGAACUCCAAAUGGAGUGAUUCAAAUUGGAAAAUAAAAUUAAAACAUAGAGGAACAAUUUU
rnacentral:misc_RNA from 1 species